GCUUGUGUUUUAAUAGAGAGUGGGCUGCUCGGUCGAAGUAUUUUUAGCUGCGGUAUUUAACUGUACUAAGGUAGCAUAAUAAUUUGCCUUAUAAAUUGAGGCUAGAAUGAAAGGUUUGACGAAGGUUUAUCUGUCUCUUUCUUAUUUAUUAGAAUUUAAUUUUUUAGUGAAAAAGCUAAAAUUUUUUAAAGGGACGAGAAGACCCUAUUGAGCUUAAAUUUAUAAGUAUUGUAGUAAUGUACUAUAAUAAUUUAAAAUUUUAAUUGGGGUGAUUAAGGAAUAAUUUGAAAAAUUAACUUCCUUAAAAAUAAAAUUGUUGGGUGAAGUAACCAAUUAUAUUGCUUAUAUGAAGUUACCAUAGGGAUAACAGCGUAAUUUAUUUAGAGAGUUCUUAUUAAAAAAUGAGAUUGCGACCUCGAUGUUGGAUUAAAGUUACCUUAAGGUGUAGAAGCUUUAAUAGGUAAAUCUGUUCGAUUUUUAAAAC
rnacentral:rRNA from 1 species